rnacentral:rRNA from 1 species
UCGAACGCGAAAGGGACUUCGGUCCUGAGUAGAGUGGCGAACGGGUGAGUAACGCGUGGGUGACCUACCCUCGAGUGGGGGAUGACGUUCCGAAAGGGACGCUAAUACCGCAUGACAUUCCUGGUUUGAAGACUGGGAAAUCAAAGCCGGGGACCGCAAGGCCUGGCGCUUGAGGAGGGGCCCGCGUCUGAUUAGCUAGUUGGCGGGGUAACGGCCCACCAAGGCGACGAUCAGUAGCCGGCCUGAGAGGGCGGACGGCCACACUGGGACUGAGACACGGCCCAGACUCCUACGGGAGGCAGCAGUGGGGAAUUGUUCGCAAUGGGCGCAAGCCUGACGACGCAACGCCGCGUGGAGGAUGAAGGUCUUCGGAUUGUAAACUCCUGUUGAUCGGGACGAAAAGCUCCAACCCAAUACGUUGGAGACUGACGGUACCGGUUGAGGAAGCCACGGCUAACUCUGUGCCAGCAGCCGCGGUAAUACAGAGGUGGCAAGCGUUGUUCGGAAUUACUGGGCGUAAAGGGCGCGUAGGCGGCCUUCUAAGUCGGACGUGAAAGCCCCAGGCUUAACCUGGGAACUGCGUCUGAUACUGGGAGGCUUGGAUUCGGGAGAGGGAUGUGGAAUUCCAGGUGUAGCGGUGAAAUGCGUAGAUAUCUGGAGGAACACCGGUGGCGAAGGCGGCAUCCUGGACCGAGAUCGACGCUGAGGCGCGAAAGCUAGGGGAGCAAACGGGAUUAGAUACCCCGGUAGUCCUAGCCCUAAACGAUGAGUGCUUGGUGUGGCGGGUAUCGAUCCCUGCCGUGCCGAAGCUAACGCAUUAAGCACUCCGCCUGGGGAGUACGGUCGCAAGGCUGAAACUCA